UUCAGACGAUGCGUCAUGCAUAUCAAUAAGCGGAGGAAAAGAAACUAACAAGGAUUCCCUUAGUAACGGCGAGUGAAGCGGGAAGAGCUCAAAUUUGAAAUCUUCAAGGUUUUACCUUGACGAAUUGUAGUUUAAAGAAGUGUUUUCUGUUGAAGUUUUGGUAAAAGUUCUUUGGAAUAGGACAUCAUAGAGGGUGAGAAUCCCGUAUUUGACCAUUAUUUUCAGCUGUGUGAUACACUUUCAAAGAGUCGGAUUGUUUGGGAAUGCAGUCCAAAAUGGGUGGUAAAUUUCAUCUAAAGCUAAAUAUUGGCGAGAGACCGAUAGCGAACAAGUACCGUGAGGGAAAGAUGAAAAGAACUUUGAAAAGAGAGUUAAACAGUACGUGAAAUUGUCAAAAGGGAAGCGUUUGACACCAGUGUUGUUUUCUCGAAAAUCAAUUAAAAAGAGUUGGAUUUUGUGUUGUAUUGACCUUAACAGCUUGCUUCACUCUUUUCCUGCUUUUUUUAAUGCACUUUUCGUUUAACAAGUCAACAUCAGUUUCUUUUGUUGUAAAAGGGUCAUUGGAAGGUGGCUUUCUCUUCGGAGAAAGUGUUUAUAGCCUUUGAUCUCUGCAAUCGGAGAGACUGAGGUCUGCAGCGUAGAUCCUUCGGGGUUAGAUACAUUUGUGCUAAGCUACAGCUUUUCAUAGACGACUUGUUGACUAUGUUUAGUCUUGUAACUUACCCGCUUAUGCUAUUUUACCUACGCUUAGGAUGUUGAUAUGCAUGACUGAUAU
rnacentral:rRNA from 1 species